AGAGUUUGAUCCUGGCUCAGGGAUGAACGCUAGCGGGAGGGCUUAAUACAUGCAAGUCGAGCGGCAAGUUUUGAUAGCAAUAUUGGAACCUAGAGCGGCGCACGGGUGAGUAACGCGUACAUGACCUGCCCUAUACUGGGGGAUAGUCUUGGGAAACUGAGAAUAAUCCCGCAUGUGAUUAGAAUGCUGCAUGGCAAAUUAAUUAAAGCUGAGGCGGUAUAGGAUGGGUGUGCGUCUGAUUAGCUAGUUGGUAGUGUAACGGACUACCAAGGCGAUGAUCAGUAGGGGGCGUGAGAGCGUGACCCCCCACACGGGUACUGAGACACGGACCCGACUCCUACGGGAGGCAGCAGUAAGGAAUAUUGGUCAAUGGAGGGAACUCUGAACCAGCCAUCCCGCGUGAAGGAUGAAGGGGCUCUGCCUUGUAAACUUCUUUU
rnacentral:rRNA from 1 species